AACGAACGCUGGCGGCAUGCCUAACACAUGCAAGUCGAACGAGACCUUCGGGUCUAGUGGCGCACGGGUGCGUAACGCGUGGGAACCUGCCCUUAGGUUCGGAAUAACCCCCCGAAAGGGGUGCUAAUACCGGAUAAUGUCUUCGGACCAAAGAUUUAUCGCCUUUGGAUGGGCCCGCGUUGGAUUAGCUAGUUGGUAGGGUAAAAGCCUACCAAGGCGACGAUCCAUAGCUGGUCUGAGAGGAUGAUCAGCCACACUGGGACUGAGGCACGGCCCAGACUCCUACGGGAGGCAGCAGUGGGGAAUAUUGGACAAUGGGCGAAAGCCUGAUCCAGCAAUGCCGCGUGAGUGAUGAAGGCCUUAGGGCUGUAAAGCUCUUUUACCCGGGAUGAUAAUGACAGUACCGGGAGAAUAAGCUCCGGCUAACUCCGUG
rnacentral:rRNA from 1 species